rnacentral:rRNA from 1 species
AUGAACGCUAGCGGCAGGCUUAAUACAUGCAAGUUGAGGGGCAGCAUGAUAUACGCGAGUAUAUUGAUGGCGACCGGCGGACGGGUGAGUAAUAGGUAGGAGACCUACCUCAUACAGGGGGAUAGCAUAGAGAAAUCUGUGGUAAUACCCCAUGAGGUUAUAUGAAUAGAGGCAUAUAAUCAAAGCAUAAGCGAUUAUGCGGUAUGAGAGGGGCCUACUGACCAUUAGCUAGUUGGUGAGGUAAGGGCUCACCAAGGCGAAGAUGGUUAGGGGUUUUGAGAGAGAGACCCCCCACAUUGGAACUGAGAGACGGUCCAGACUCCUACGGGAGGCAGCAGUAGGGAAUAUUGGGCAAUGGGCGAAAGCCUGACCCAGCCAUGCCGCGUGAAGGAAGACGGCCUUAUGGGUUGUAAACUUCUUUACUACGCGAAUAGAGGUUAGUACGAGAUACUAAUAGGAAGGUAGUGUAGUAAAAAGCACCGGCUAACUCCGUG